UUCCUGUGAUGAUCAGAUUCUGCCAGAUGAUUUCUGAUUAUAAUAAAUACCGUUCCAUUAUUUCUGAGGUU
rnacentral:snoRNA from 1 species